rnacentral:rRNA from 1 species
CAGUAGCCUCGGUAAUACAGAGGGUGCAAGCGUUAAUCGGAAUUACUGGGCGUAAAGCGCGCGUAGGUGGUUUGUUAAGUUGGAUGUGAAAUCCCCGGGCUCAACCUGGGAACUGCAUCCAAAACUGGCAAGCUAGAGUAUGGUAGAGGGUGGUGGAAUUUCCUGUGUAGCGGUGAAAUGCGUAGAUAUAGGAAGGAACACCAGUGGCGAAGGCGACCACCUGGACUGAUACUGACACUGAGGUGCGAAAGCGUGGGGAGCAAACAGGAUUAGAUACCCCCGUAGUCCCUGUCUCUUAUAC